UAUCAAAAGAAAAGAGAGACAAGUCUCUUUCUCUCAUUCCUAAAAUGCAUCUUUUCCCCUUCCCCAUACCUCGUUCAAUCUCCAUUAACUUUACCAAAUUACAACACCAAACAGUCCCUAUCUUCCCUCAUUCUUCCUCUGUUCUCAUCUCCUUCAAACAAGAAAAACCCUAGCCAUGGCUUACAUCACCUCUGCCACGACUGAAUGCACCUGCCAAGCUUCAUCCUAUUAUCAGGCAUUCCGGCUCUUGACUCCAAUAAAUCAGUGAUGAAAAGUGCCGAAUCAAUUAUAAAGCAAAAAAUGAUUCAAAUCUACUAUUAAUGCUUGAGAGUCGUCCAAAUUUGCAAGAGAAUUGUCCUUCUCAACUUUUUGAAAUUUGAAUUUCCUCUAUCAUUUAUUUGUUGGCUUUCCAUGAAGUUUUGGGUUUCAAAUUUGGAUUUUGAGAUCUGGAUUUGCCAAUGAAUACCCACAAUUUCAUUCUUCAAAGGCCGGGGGGGGGGGGGGGGGGGGGGGGAGGGGGGGAUAUUCAUAGGUUUUGAUCCCCCACAAUACUCGUUGGGCAUAAAAAUAUAGAGAAUUUUUCAUUACCAGUUAAUAGUCUUUUGUCUCCCUUGGUCUGAGUUCGAGUUUUGAAACCCCAAAAACUUGACAUUAGAGCCUCAGCUUGCUGCCCAACACAAGGUAUUAGCAAUCUUGAACCAGUCCAGAACAAACUCCUUAAAGCUGUAAGUUCUUUCGAUAGAAAUCCGGUGGGCUGUUUGAGGUCGUUUUGAUGUGGUUUUGGCUGCUUUUAACGUGGUAAUUUUGACGUAAAUAUGUAAGUGUUUGAUAAGUGUUUGAUCGAUGUAUUUACAAGGUGUCGGUAGCUCCAUUUUCACGUAAGGGGUUUUAAAAAAUGGCCACAAAUCCUCGGUUGUCCGUCAUAAAAUUUAUACCUUAAGGAUUAGCCAUGAUAAGAAUUACCGCGUGGUAUCUCUUUCUCAUUCAAUUAUAUGUAAUCUUUAGCUAUCGUCUUUCUUUGUUAAGUCGUGUGAAUGAUAUCAACGGUGCAAGUCCAAAAGUAUUUUAACAUAGCUUUUGUAUCUUGUCAUUGGAUUCUCUCUUCUUCGUGGAAAUUUAAGACUAUUAGUAUUACUUAUUGAUUUUAUUUUUUCAAUAAGCUACCUUGAAUAGAUAAGUAGUUUUGAAGUUGAGAUUUAGGGCAGCAUUUUAUCUUUAGGAGAGAUAACUUUAUUAGUUUGGACCAACUGAGUUAAGCACCGCAAUAUUUCAAAAUGGUUUUUUAUUUUCUAUUUAGUGUGUGCUAAGCUACUGUAUGAUUAAAUAUAUGUGUCUAUGGAUAUGUUUCCUCCUCAAUCUGCUCGCUUCUGGUUCAUCUAAGUCACUUUAUAAUCGCUUUUAUUUCUUUGCUUUGUUUUCAUGUAUACUUUCGAGAACUGGAGUUUUGCAGUGGAACUCAAUUCAACCCAUAGUAUCAGGUCAACAGUUAUAGGAUCAUCAAAGUUCAGGGUCUACAUAGUUAGGAGUUGGUUCUGUCAAAAGAACUUAGCUUAUCUUCUUCUUUCUUUACAUUUUCUUAUUAUAUCAACAUUUAUUUUCGCUAACCUUGUAUUUAUUUGAUUAUGUAUUUUGGUCUGCUUUGAUUGAAUUUGAAUUAACUUUAUAUUAAUUUAGUUUUGUUUAGCUUCAAAAUAUCUAGAAUUAGUUUCCUUCGGGUAAUCUUUUGUAAAUUUAACGUCUAUAGGUAUAGUAACACAUUAUUUAACCAUUUAUUUUACAUUCGCCAAUUGAUAAUUUUUUAAUAAAAGAAAAUUUUUGGUCUUAAAGGUAAAUUCUUGAGUUGCAGUCCGUUCGGCUAUGUUGUAUGGAGCGGAGUGUUGAUCAGUCAAGAACUUACACAUUCAAAAGUUGAAAGUGGUAGAAAUGAGGAUGUUGCAGUGGAUAUGCGAACUUACUAGGAGUGACAGAGUAAGGAAUGAGACUAUUCGAGAGAAGGUGGGUGAAGCUUCGGUAGAGGACAAGAUGCGGGAAAUGAGGUUGAGAUGGUUUGGGCAUGUGAUGAUGAAUGAGACUAUUCGAGAGAAAGUGGGUGAAGCUUCGGUGGAGGACAAGAUGCGGGAAGUGAGGUUGAGAUGGUUUGGGCAUGUGAUGAGGAGGGACACUGAUGUCCCAGUUUAUAGGUGUGAGAGGUUCGCCUUGGAGGGUUUCAGAUAGGGUAGGGAAAGGCCAAAGAAAUAUUGAAGAGAGGUGAUUAUACGUGACAUGGAGCAGUUACAGCUUACUGAGAACGUGAUCCUGGAUAGAAAGGUUUGGAGGACGCAUAUUAGGAUAGAGGGCUAAUGCGUGUAGAGUCGUCUUAGGCAGUAGGGCCUUGUGCAUAGGUUAGAGCUUCUAGUUAGGAGGGUUGGGGAGGUGUGCCUUUUGUUUGUUAAUGUAUAAUAUUGCUUUGCGAGUGUUGUACCUCUGUUAUUUCUCCUUGUUUCAUGAUUUAUGAUAACAUUGAUUACUGUUA